UGCGGCUCCGUCAGGUGACACACUGUGGACGUGAGCCGCCUCUGGAGAAUGGAGAAGAGACCAGGAGCAGCUGAACCAGGACUAAACCAGGACCAUGUCGGGUCUAAAGCAGGUCCUGGUCCCAGCGGCGUCUCUCUGUGCAGUAACCGUUCCAAACUCGUUGGCAUCGACUUUAAAAAAGACCAAAGUGAAGCCUCUGCACACCUCAGGAGAAUGGAGAAGAGACCAGGAGCAGCUGAACCAGGA